rnacentral:rRNA from 1 species
UACGUAGGGUGCGAGCGUUGUCCGGAAUUACUGGGCGUAAAGGGCGCGUAGGCGGGAUGGUAAGUCGGUCGUGAAAUCCCUCGGCUCAACCGAGGAACGUCGAUCGAUACUACCGUUCUUGAGGAUUGCAGAGGAGACUGGAAUUCCCGGUGUAGCGGUGAAAUGUGUAGAGAUCGGGAGGAACACCGGUGGCGAAGGCGGGUCUCUGGGCAAUUCCUGACGCUGAGGCGCGAAAGCGUGGGGAGCAAACGGG